rnacentral:lncRNA from 1 species
CCUCCGAUCAAGAUUGAAGUGAUAAUUUGCGAAACCAAAGUUCCUUUCGAAGAUCAUUGAAGUGGGAGCGAUGACGACGGAUCCGGACUCUAACCUCCACUACGGCGUGUGCGAGAGUACGACGGCGUGGACAAGAGUACGGUGGUGAAGGCCGUUAUUGGCGGGGGCAAGUGGUUGUCAGAAUAGUGGAGGUUGCGCCGGUGAGGAGCGAUUGAAGGUCGAUUGUGGCCGGCGGAGAAAUUGUGGUUUUGUAAGGGUGCUCGUUGGAGGUAGAAAAUGAGGGUGUGGAGCAUGUGGGUUCGCGGUCGAAGGAGGAGAAGAGUAAAGUUGAGCAUGAAAUAAAUUGAUACGGUUUGUUGAGUUGUUCCAAGCGUGUCGUCGUUGUUGCGGUAACGCUUGUAGUGCGUAUGAGUUGUUGGAUACAAGGGCACCUCUGUUUUCGAUAUGGUCAGGAUGAUUCUUACGGAUCGCUUAAGAUGUGAGACUAACAACUUCUAUAGUUGUAUCAUCCUACAAGAUCGAGGCAACAUUGAACUAUUGUUGUUGGAAAUUUCAAAUAUGCCGAAAUCAAACCAAUCGGAUCGCUUAAGAUGUGAGACUAACAACUUCUAUAGUUGUAUCAUCCUACAAGAUCGAGGCAACAUUGAACUAUUGUUGUUGGAAAUUUCAAAUAUGCCGAAAUCAAACCAAAAACAUGGGGGAUCAAAUGUAUUGUUUGUUGCUGCAACUUGGAGUUGUGGAAAAAAAAGGUGUGUUGUCGUGAACUUGUUGUAGGCAGAGCUAACAAGAGAUAUGUGGUUGUCAAUGGAUGAUGAGGAUGGAUAAUGGUUGGGUGGCGACGAUACUUGUGCACCCAGUGGAUGGAAGUGUCACGACCGAUUGUGAGGAGGUCGAUGGUGGGAACGUUGUGCCGGAGGUGGUUAGUUGGAGACGCAAGGGUUUGUGAUGGCGGAAGAAGAAACGAAUGGUGGUGGUCCGGUAGAAUGGAUUUGAUCGGAAGUGAAGAAGGGUGAUAUCGUUGAGUUGUGGUGGUGGAUGGUGAGUGGUCGUGGCUUGAAGAUGGAACGCAGAACAACGAUACUCGAGUCGAAAGAUGAAGAGCGUAACCGAAUCAAUUCCGAAAAGGUAUCGUCGAGUUUUUUCGCUUCUCUCUUAUGCUUCUGUUAUUUCUUUUCUUUCCCAACUCUAUCUCUCUUUUUCUCCUUCGAUUACUGAUUGAUUCGUGAAUCGUCGAUGAAGGAUUUCCGAGUGUCUCCGUUUCUGUUAUUGCUGUUGUGUUCUUUAUGGUUUUUGAAAGAAAACUCUGUUUGUGUUUAGGUUGUUGUCGAUGAAGGAUUUCCGAGUGUCUCCGUUUCUGUUAUUGCUGUUGUGUUCUUUAUGGUUUUUGAAAGAAAACUCUGUUUGUGUUUAGGUUGUUCUUGAUUUUGGGUUUUGAAGAAAAAUAACUUUGUUGUGUUUAUUGCUGUGUUUGCUGUUGUGUUUAGAGUUUCUUUUGAAAAAUCUCUUACUGUGAUGUGUAUCCCCCUGUUAACCUCUCUUCUGUUGUUAUUAUGAAGAAAGGAUUAAGCCUUAUAAAACUCUUUUUUCUUUUUGAUUUUCUCAUCCCAGAUUAUGUGGGAUUUGAUCUGUUCUUGUUUUAAGUUAAUCUAAAAAGCGCUUUUUGGAUGCUUAGGUUAACCUUAUGGAUAAAGCUUCAAACUGAAUGAUUCAUUUAGUUGUUUUUCAGCUCUCUAAGUGCUUUUAGAAUAAGCUAUUUUCUCUUUGCAGGUCACAGAUUUGAAGAGACUUUGAUGGAAUGGAAAAUUGGUUGCUCUAAGCUUCAAGACAACAUGUUUUUGCGCCUAGGUCCAAAGGAGUGUUUAACUAGUCCAUUGAUUUUGGUCUUGGUCAUUAGAAUUAGGAACCUGUUUUUGCAGCAAAUUUCACUUAGUCAAAAAAUGUAAUUAUUUAGUUUAAUAAAAAAAUUUAAAGAUAAAAUGUAUUUGGAUUAUUUGGAGCUUAUUGAAUUAAAUUUUAAUUAUGUAAUUACCUUUUAAGCUUUUCAAAAUUUAACUCAAUAUUUAUUUAUGCUAAUCAAUUUCAACUUUUAAAAACAACAAAUUUCUAACUUAAGUAUAAUGACUUAAUUUUUAAAAACAACAUAUUUCUAAUUAAGUAAAAGACUUAAUUUUAAAAACAACAUAUCUCUUUAACUUAAGUAUAAUGACUUAAUUUUAAAAACACAUAUUUCUAACUUCAAGUAAAAUGACUUAAUUUUUAAAAACAACAUAUUUCCUAAUUUAAGUAUAAGUGACUUUUAAUUUUAAAAACAAAUAUUUUCUAACUUAAGUAAAAAUGACUUAGUUUAAAACAAAUAUUUCUAAUUAGUAUAAUGACUUAAUUUUUAAAACAACAUAUUUUCUAACUUAAGUAUAAUGACUUAAUCUAAAAAAUACAUAAUUCUAACUUAGGGUACAAAGAGAACUAAGUAUAGUGGAUUUAAUUUAAAAACAACACAAUCUAUUUUAAAUACAAAAAUCAAUAUGAGACUUUAAAAAAACCACUAUUCUAUUUAAAUACAAAAAUCUAAAAUAUGGAUGGAAAAAAAAAACUUUUAAUUUUAAAAACGACACAUACAUGUUUUUAAAAUGCAUUUAAUUUGGGAACCCAUGAAGACUUAGAACUUGUAUAAUAUUUGGGAUGUGUAAAUGGACUAGUAAAUAGUGAUCAUAGAAAUAAUAACGUGACUCUUAAUACUUACUAAUAGAAAAAAUAGGUUUUGGAUUAGUAAUGUAAAAAGAUUCAAACCACAUUUUAGAUUACGAACACACUUAUGCAAAUGGGCCUUUGAAAUAAAAAGAUCUCAUGGGUAAACCAAAAAUGGCCGGACAAAAUUGGGGUAUGACGGCUGCCCCUAUUUAAUUAACCUGAACCAGAAGGUAAGAAUGACAACAGUCUUCAUACAUUCGUAGUGGAAGGUAAUUAAAUACGAAAAGACCCAAAUUUUGUCCUUUGAAAUGCAAGGAAGAAAUACAAAAAAGAAAAUGCAGUGAGAAAUACAGUAAGAAAAAUUAACAAAAAGGUAAAAUGAAACAGUCAAGACUCUCUGGGAAUCAUCAGAACAAUAUCUUGGAUGUCAUAAUCGAGAUAUUCCGGUAAUGGAAUGAUAUCCCUAGCUAAAUCUCAAGAUUUUUUAGGAUGCUAGAGCAGUAUAAAGAAAAUCUGGCAUGAGACUCUUCAUAUUGAUGAAGCAGCAUCUCAACAGUAAAAGUCUCUAAGAGACAUAGCUCAGCUUUGUCGUAGAAUAUACUAUCUUAAUUGAUGUUCCAGCAAGGGAAAGAUACCUUAAUUGAAUCUAAGACUCUCCGAGGAUAUUAGAGCAGUAUCUCUAAAAAAAUCUGAAAUGAGACUCUUCAUAUUGAUAAAGCAUUAUCUCAAACAGUAAAAAUGAGAUUCUCUGUAUUGGGUCGAAGCAACAUGUUAUAUGAUAGAAUUAAGAUGUUCCAGCAAGGGAAAGAUACCUUAAUUGAAUCUAAGACUCUUCGAGGAUAUUAGAGCAGUAUCUCUAAAAAGAAAAUUGAAAUGAGACUCUUCAUAUUGAUGAAGCAGUAUCUCAAACAGUAAAAGUGAGAUUCUCUGUAUCGGGUCGAAGCAGCAUCAUAUAUGAUAGAAUUAAGAUAUUCCAGCAAGGGAAAGAUACCUUAAUCGAAUCUAAGACUCUUCGAGGAUACUUAGAGCAGUAUCUCUAAAAAAAUAUGAAAUGAGACUCUUCAUAUUGAUGAAGCAGCAUCUCAAACAGUAAAAGUGAGAUUCUCUAUAUCGGGUCGAAACAGCAUCUUAUAUGAUAGAAUUAAGAUUUUCCAGCAAUGGAAAAAUACCUUAAUUGAAUCUAAGAUUCUCCGAAGAUAUUUGAGCAGUAUCUCUAAAAAAUCUGAAAUGAGACUCUUCAUAUUGAUGAAGCAGCAUCUCAAACAGUAAAAAUGAGAUUCUUUGUAUCGAGUCGAAGCAGCAUCUUAUAUGAUAGAAUUAAGAUAUUCCGAACGAGGGAAUGAUACCUUAAUUGAAUCUAAGACUCACCGAGGAUACUUAGAGCAGUAUCUCUAGAAAAAUCUGAAAUGAGACUUUUCAUAUUGAUGAAGCAGCACCUCAAACAGUAAAAGUGAGAUUCUCCAUAUCGGAUCGAAACAACAUCUUAUAUGAUAGAAUUAAGGUGUUCCAGCAAGGGAAAAAUACCUUAAUUGAAUCUAAGACUCUCAGAGGAUAUUAGAGCAGUAUCUCUAAAGAAAAUCUGAAAUGAGACUCUUCAUAUUGAUGAAGCAGUAUUUCAAACAGUAAAAAUGAGAUUCUCUGUAUCGGGUCGAAGCAGCAUCUUAUAUGAUAGAAUUAAGAUGUUCCAGCAAGGGAAAAAUACCUUAAUUGAAUCUAAGACUCUCCGAGGAUAUUAGAGCAGUAUCUCUAAAGAAAAUAUGAAAUGAGACUCUUCAUAUUGAUGAAGCAGUAUCUCAAACAGUAAAAAUGAGAUUCUCCAGGUAAAUGAAGCAGUAUCUCGAAUAUUCUUCUGUUGGGGGAAUUUUUGAAAAGACUCCUUUUGAGGGAGAUUUACUAGAAAUGCUCUGCAGGGGAAAAAGCUCAUAAGAGACCUUUUAGGGUAACCUCUGCUUGGGGAGCAAUGACUGUAAAGAAAAAUGUUGGAAAUAUCAUUAUUUAAAAAAAGUUGAAAAAUGAUUUGCUAAGAAAUAACCCUACGAGCCUAUGUAGGGUAAUAACUUCAUUUGGAAAUGAGGAAUGUCUGAGACAUAUGCGAAUGACCUUGGAUCCUGUUAUUUUAUAUUUGAUUUUUGUAUAAUGUCCCACUUUAGGUGGGAAUUCCACGCAUGGGAUGAUGCAUGAGAUGUACGCAAGUAUGCAAUAUUGCUAGGGAUAUUUGGUUGUGCAUGUAGGAAUUCGAAUGAUUUUUAUUUUUUUGCUGAAAUUCCCAUUUUGUGGGAGUGUUAUGCAUGAGUAUGUUGAUGAUUGAUAUGACUGGGUUUGAUUAAUCUUCCUGUUUGGCAGGAAAUUAUGCAUGAAAUGAUGCAUGUGAUGCAUGUGGAAAUACAACUGGGUAAUUGGAUGCUUUUGUAGGGUUUUAUUCUUGAUUGCCAAUGAGGUUGGACUUUAUAUGGGAACUGCCAGAUGAGAACUGGUGAAGGAGACUGAACUGCUAGAUGAGGACAACACUUGAAGGAUAUGUUACCAGAUGCGAACUGGUGAAAAUAAUUGAAAUGUCAGACGGGACUGAAUUUGUUUUUGUUUGUCAAACGGGAACUGACUUUUUUUAAAAUAGGCUACCAGACGAGAACUGGUGAAAAUAAUUGACUACCAGACGAGAACUGGUAUCGAAAUAACCUACCAGACGAGAACUGGUGAAAAUAAUUGACUACCAGACGAGAACUGGUAUCGAAAUAACCUACCAGACGAGAACUGGUAUUUGGAAAAUGAUUUGUCAUGCAAGAACUGAUUUUUGAAAUAGUUUGUCGGACAGGGACUGGACUUUGGAAUAAGUUGCCAGACAAGAACUGGACUUUGAAAUGAAUUUCCAGACUAGAACUGGGCUUUGAAAUGAAUUGCCAGACGAGAACUGGACUUUGACAUAAAUUGCUAGACGGGAACUGGGCUUUGAAAUGAAUUGCCAGACGAGAACUGGACUUUGACAUAAAUUGCCAGACGGGAAUUAGGCUUUGAAGUGAAUUGCCAGACGAGAACUGGACUUUGACAUAAAUUGCUAGACGGGAACUGGGCUUUGAAAUGAAUUGCCAGACGAGGACUGGACUUUGACAUAUAUUGCCACACGGGAACUGGGCUUUGAAAUGAAUUUCCAGACGGGAACUGGGCUUUGGUGUCAGAUUUUGGGUUUCAAGGCUUUUUGAUGUCAGGUUCAUGUUAUGGGGGGUUAUGCCUGAUAAAUGAUAUGAUAUGCAUGGCUUUGUGCUAGAGCAAAGCGACAUGACUAAUGCAUGAUGAUGAUUUAUGUAAUGAUUGGAAGGUUUCCAAAAUGCCCCUGCGCGGGUAUUGGAAGAGAAUGGUUUUUUGCAGAAAGAUUUUUGUCUGUUAAAAGGUUAUUUUAUGGGGUGAUAGCGUGAUUCCCCGACACUUGUCUCGAACUCUAUGGUUGCUGAUGUGCGACCAAACUUUUGAUUGAUCAGCUUGAAAAUAUGGAGAGGACUUGCUCCUAUAUGGCUCAUCUUGCCCCAGUUUGUUGGGUCUUUGCGGACGUUUACCUCGAAAGGAUUUCGAAAGAAAUUGUACCAUAAUUUGGAGAUGGCUUGCCCCAAAAUUUUGAUCCAUGAAAGGAUUUAUCCUUGGUUAACCGACUCUUGGAGUGGUUGACUUUUCUGUGCUCUUGAGGUAGCUUGCCCCGAUAUGAGCGUUGAAGCGACUUAACUCACCCUAACUGAACAUUGAAGGGGUCUGCCCCUGGCCAACAGAACCUCUAGGUGACCUGCCCCUAGUUAAUAGAGUCCUGAGAUGAUUUGCUCUGGAUCAACUGAUUCUUGAAAAGAUUUGCACAUUUAUUAACAGAUUUUAGGGGACUGUUUCAAGCUGACCAAUUCUUGGAGUAAUCUUCCUAUGACCAACUGAUGUUUAGGUGGCAUGUCUCAGAUUCAUAGGUUGUGAGGUAGUCUUGAUUCAGGUCAGCACCAACGAAUGUCCAAGUUCCUCUGAUUGUUCCUUAUUGUUGGAAUUUCCCUGACGUCAAGUAUUAUCUUGCAGUUAAAAUUGUUUGUUCAGAAAUGGUAAUUUUAAUGCGAUACUCAUGCAAGUUUUGAAAAGAAUUUAUUUGAAUGAUGUGAUAAUGUGUGACGAGUGGACCAUGAGUCCAAAUGUAAUGCUGAUUUAGCAAUUUAAAGUGUGAAAGACACAGCGAGAAUAAUGACAUCGAUGUUGAAGAUUAACAAAUCUUUAGGAGUCAGUUUACGCAACCUUGAUGUAGUAUGCUUUCGGAAUAAACCCUACUUCAAUUAGGUAUUUUGAGGGUUGUAACAUGGCUUGGUUCAUGGUUAUUGAAACAAAAGGAUAUAAGGCUCGAAGUUUAUUUUAACCCACCCCUUCUUCAUGAUGAUCUCCAAUCCUACGUUCAAUUAAUUCGACACACACUUACUCUUACGAGAUUUCAGCAGUGUAAGAUCUUUUUGAAAUGACAGUCGCUUCAUUUUACUCUUCAUGGAUAUUGGUGACCCUUUGAUUCUUGAUAUGGUGGUCACUAAAUCUUGUUUUUAUUUUGUUGAGGGUUUUCGUGACCUCCUUUGAUUUUUGUUUUGAUCCCUAACUUUUGCAUGGACCGUUUUUUGAAGCUUUAGUCCAUCGGGAUUGCCCUAGUUUUUGCCUAAGUCUCCUUUUGGGGUAUCGACUUAGCGGGCUUUUUUAUUGAUUCCCUUUUUUAGAAUGCGAAUGCCAAGUCAUUGGUCAUUGAAGAACAACCGUCAUAACUUUUUGAUUUUUCAAGGUUCCUUCGACACUUCAGGAUGUGUGCGAAGAAUAUCAUGUGGUUGGUCCUCAGACGGGAUGUUUCAUCUUGAAAUUUGAAUGCGUAGUCAGGUUAACUGAACACUACUCUUCCCCAGGUUAAACAUAAGGGUUUGUUCAUUCGAAAGAAACACCUACUUCUAGGCUCAAAGUGGUUGACUAGGGAUUAACUCCUUAUCUCUCCAGUGUUUGGGGAUUUGAAACAAUGCCUGUACAUCAUCAACAGAAUUUUAUCCGAAAGCAUAUAGUCAGCAAUUAUGGGUAACUUGUUUUUGUCAUCCUCCCUCAAAUCUUUGCUAAAAUAAAGGUUACGAUAAAGAAAAGUGAAUGGGAGAAACACAGAUGUAUUUUUGUUUUUGAUAUAAGAGAAGAAAAAUGAGCGAAUGCGAGAUAAUUAAUUCAAAAUAUGCAUCAUUACUUCAUCAAUAUUACCAUUAAAAACAACAAUGUUUAAACACAAGCAGCUUUUAACAACAAAGAAACUACAAAUCCAAAAAUAGAAACAAAUCAGUCCAACGAUUGCCAGUGUUGAGGAUGUCUUCCUUUUUUGAUGAAACUAUCAUUGUAACAACCCAAAUUUAGUAAUUAUUUCUUAUAUUAUUAUUACUAUAUUUUAUUUUAUUUAUUUGAAGUGUUAAUUAAUUAAUUGGUUGUUAGGUAGUAUAAUAAUCGAUUAUAUUAAUUAAUUUGGUAUGUUAAUUAAUUAUUUAGUUGAUACGAGAUAUAAUGAAUAAUUGAAUUAAUUAACUUGGUGUGCAUAUUGAGUUGGUUUAAUUUAUUUGAAUUAAAUAGAGAUAUUAUAAUACUAGGUCUUAUUGGGCCUAAUAAUUAAAUUAGAGGUAUCAUUCUUUAAGUCCAAAUAUAAUACUAGAAUAUAAAAGGUAGGAGAGUGAGAAGUAGGAUUAAUUUAAUCAUUGACGGCAAUAGAGAAAGAAAAGAGGAAAAGUAAGGAGAAGAAUAUAAAAGGUAGGAGAGUGAGAAGUAGGAUUAAUUUAAUCAUUGACGGCAAUAGAGAAAGAAAAGAGGAAAAGUAAGGAGAAGAGGGGAAGAACAAGAGAGAAGCUAAGGUUUCCAGAAAAUUGAAGAGGUAAGGGGGGAAUCCUUAUUAUUAUGGGUUAGUAUGAUUGGGUCAAUAGGUAGAAGUAUGUUUAGGUUAAAAUCCCUAAUUUUGUAUGGUUGUUUGAAAUGGUUAGGUUUUGAUAAGUAUCCUUGAUUUGUGGUGAUUGAUUGUGUUAAAACUGCAAAUUAACGUUAUAUACUUAGAGUAUUGUGUGAGUUAUAAUUUUCUGAACGUUUGGCUUUUUACGGAAUCGAAAUCGGAGGUCCGAAAGCCCUCCAACGAUGAAAAAUGCAGAAAAUUAUGCAUUCUGUUUUGUGUUAACCGGUUACCCACCGAGCGUUAACCGUUACUUGCUUGAAAAUCUGCGCAGGAUGUUGAUUCUGUUUUAUGUUAACCGGUUACCCACCGAGCGUUAACCGGUUACUUGCUUAAAAAUCUGCGCAGGAAAUUGAUUAUGUUUUGUGUUAAACGGUUACUUGCUUGAAAAUCUGCGCAGGAAGUUGAUUCUGUUUUGUGUUAACCGGUUACCCACCGAGCGUUAACCGGUUACUUGCUUGAAAAUCUGCGCAGGAAGUUGAUUCUGUUUUGUGUUAACCGGUUACCCUCCGAGCGUUAACCGGUUACCACUGUUGAAAAAUUAAAAAUUGAGAUUUUGAAAGUGGUAUUUAUUUUGAAAUGCAAUCUAAGUGUGCGUAGUUGAUAAUUAGCCUAUAUUUGUGAAUGGAAUAUUGUUAUGAAUGUGUAUAUGUACCAUUGGUGGAUAAUUCAUAGAGUUGAAUUAUGGUGAUAUGUGGAAUGUUAAGAUGGUAGAGAUGAUCUUAAUUGCAUAUGUGUUGGUAUUUGUACAUUCAUUCAUGGCAUGGUCGGCUUCAUGGUGGAAGCGGUGAAACUGUGGGUUCACAUGGUAAUAGACGUUGAUCCUUAAUUGGAAAUAGGCGUAGCAGACGUUGAUCCUUAAUUGGAAAUAGACGUAGUGGCUUGGAUUCUAGAUAUUGAAUCGGAAAGCGGUGAAACUGUGGGUUCACAUAGACGUUGAUCCUUAAUUGGAAAUAGGCGUAGCAGACGUUGAUCCUUAAUUGGAAAUAGACGUAGUGGCUUGGAUUCUAGAUAUUGAAUCGGAAAGCGGUGAAACUGUGGGUUCACAUAGACGUUGAUCCUUAAUUGGAAAUAGGCGUAGCAGACGUUGAUCCUUAAUUGGAAAUAGACGUAGUGGCUUGGAUUCUAGAUAUUGAAUCGGAAAGCGGUGAAACUGUGGGUUCACAUAGACGUUGAUCCUUAAUUGGAAAUAGGCGUAGCAGACGUUGAUCCUUAAUUGGAAAUAGACGUAGUGGCUUGGAUUCUAGAUAUUGAAUCGGAAAGCGGUGAAACUGUGGGUUCACAUAGACGUUGAUCCUUAAUUGGAAAUAGGCGUAGCAGACGUUGAUCCUUAAUUGGAAAUAGACGUAGUGGCUUGGAUUCUAGAUAUUGAAUCGGAAAGCGGUGAAACUGUGGGUUCACAUAGACGUUGAUCCUUAAUUGGAAAUAGGCGUAGCAGACGUUGAUCCUUAAUUGGAAAUAGACGUAGUGGCUUGGAUUCUAGAUAUUGAAUCGGAAAGCGGUGAAACUGUGGGUUCACAUAGACGUUGAUCCUUAAUUGGAAAUAGGCGUAGCAGACGUUGAUCCUUAAUUGGAAAUAGACGUAGUGGCUUGGAUUCUAGAUAUUGAAUCGGAAAGCGGUGAAACUGUGGGUUCACAUAGACGUUGAUCCUUAAUUGGAAAUAGGCGUAGCAGACGUUGAUCCUUAAUUGGAAAUAGACGUAGUGGCUUGGAUUCUAGAUAUUGAAUCGGAAAGCGGUGAAACUGUGGGUUCACAUAGACGUUGAUCCUUAAUUGGAAAUAGGCGUAGCAGACGUUGAUCCUUAAUUGGAAAUAGACGUAGUGGCUUGGAUUCUAGAUAUUGAAUCGGAAAGCGGUGAAACUGUGGGUUCACAUAGACGUUGAUCCUUAAUUGGAAAUAGGCGUAGCAGACGUUGAUCCUNCAUGCAUAGAGUCACAUGUCUUGCAUUGAGUCACAUUAGAGUUAUGUGAUAAUUGAGUGUAUGCAGUGUUGUGAUUGUGAUGUGUGUAUGAGAUAUGGUAAUUGAAUUUGGUGAUGUUUGGAUACAUAACUUGGCAAAGUAUGUGAUUAUGUGAUAAUUAUAGUUAUGUGUAUAAUUGAAAAUAUAGUAUGUGAUCUUAAUAUUAUACUCCUUGACUUUUGAUGGAUGUUGAAAUAUGGGAAAUAAAUGUUAGUUAAUAUUAUUGACAUGGUUAUACAAGGUGUGAUGAAUUCCGUUAAUUGUUGAGUUAAUCAUUGUGCCUUAUUAUACUUCUUCAUAAUGAUUUGAAUUCUCACCCUUUCUGUUUGAAUGUUGCCUUUACAUGGGCAUCGUGCAGAUACUCAGGAGUAGUAUUGCUGAAGUAAGUGGAUGGUAGCUCAUUCGAGAUUUAGCCGUUGAGCUUAUGUAUUCUAGUUUGGAGACUAGGUAGUGAGUCAAUGCUCUGGUCAUGUAACACGGGGUAUAUUAGUAGUAUUGAACUCAUACCUUAUUUGGAUACGUAUUAUGUUAUUACUUGUGAACAUGUUUGAUUGCAAUUGCUGUUUGAGAUGCCAUAGUGCCAAAUAUUCUGGAUAUGGUUUUAUUUUAUCUUGAGGAGAUUAUUGAGAGAUGAUCAUGGUAUGGGACAUGGAUCAUUUUAUGAAAUGCAUGAGUAUUCAUUAUUUUCCGCUGCGAACGCAUAUUCUGGAAUAUUCAUGAUAAUUGAAAUGUGUUAUUUUAAAUGACCAGGUGUAUUGUAUAUUGAUGAUGAAUGAUGUUGGUUUUUGAAAGCUUUUAGUUUUUGAAAACGUCGAUGUGACGCCCUUUUGUUUAUAUGCGUGCUUAUUUACUCUGAUUAUAGGUUAAGCAUUUUAGGGUAGAAAAAGGGGUGUUACAUUAGUGGUAUCAGAGCAUGGUCGACCAGUUGGUCAAUAGUCGUUAAUGUUUUCCAAUCCUAUUAUAUUCAAUUUGUGUAUCUGACACGAUCGAUACUGUUUGUCUGGUUGUUCGGGCUGUUCAGGAUGAUGGUUUCAGGCAGGAAUGAUGAUGCCAUUGCUGAGGCGCUGAGGAUGUUGGCUGACUCCAUUGGUUAGAUCCCUCAAGCGAAUGCUGGUAACCGAAAUGGAGAUGAUGAUGAGUUCCGUGCUUUGGGGAGAUUCCAGCGGAACAAUCCUCCUAUCUUCGAGGGUGAGCAUGAACCUGAUAAAGCUCAAGCUUGGCUGAAGGCAAUUGAGAAGAUCUUCAGAGUCAUGAACUGUACGGAUGCUCAGAAAGUGCAGUGUUGGCUAGUUAACCUGUCUGAGAAUGAUGUGUUUUUCCUGAACCCGAAGAGAGAUCGGAUUCGAGGAUGGUGUUGAUUAGAAGUUAAUCGAGUGUAUAUCAACUGUUUUGAGAAGACAGUUAUUUUUCCCGAGGUUGGUGCUAAGGGAGAUUGGUUUGUGUCUGCUAAGCAAGUUGAUGAAUCGGUGCAAGAUGGUGCCGAGUUGUUUAUGUUGUUGGCAACUUUGGGUAUUCGUGAGAAGAGGACGAUUGAAGAAUUUCCAAUAGUUUGUGAGUUUACGGAGGUAUUUCUGGAAGAUAUAAGUGAUUUACCGCCGGAACGUGAGGUUGAGUUUUCGAUUGAUUUAGUUCCUGGAACUAGUCCUGUAUCGAUGGCUCCCUAUAAAAUGUCUGCUUCUGAGUUGAAAGAGUUGAAGAGUCAACUUGAAGACUUGCUCGAGAAGAGGUUUAUUCGUCCUAGUGUGUCGCUGUGGGGUGCACCUGUUCUGUUGGUCAAGAAGAAAGAAGGUUCUAUGAGAUUAUGUGUUGAUUACAGACAACUGAAUAAAGUGACGAUUAAAAACAAGUAUCCACUUCCGAGGAUUGACGAUCUGAUGGAUCAGCUGGUUGGAGCUUGUGUGUUUAGCAAGAUUGAUUUGAGGUCUGGGUAUCAUCAGAUUCGUGUAAAGGCUGAGGAUAUUCAAAAGACUACUUUUCGGACAAGGUACGGUCACUACGAGUACUCCGUGAUGCCUUUUGGUGUGACUAAUGCACCUGGUGUAUUUAUGGAGUAUAUGAAUAAAAAAUUUCAUGAUUAUCUGGAUAAGUUUGUUGUUGUGUUCAUCGAUGAUAUAUUGAUUUAUUCCAAGAGUAAAGAGGAUCAUGCCGAGCAUUUGAAGGUUGUGUUAUCGGUGUUGAAAGAGAAGAAGUUGUUUGCUAGACUCUCUAAAUGUGAGUUUUGGUUGAGUGAAGUAAGUUUUCUUGGACAUGUGAUUUCGAGUGGUGGUAUUUCUGUGGAUCCUACGAAGAUUGAAGUUGUAUCUCAGUGGGAAGCUCCUAGGUCUGUUGCUGAAUUAGAAGUUUCCUUGGUUUGGCUAGUUAUUAUAGGAAGUUCAUUGAAGGAUUUUCUAAGUUGUCGUUACCAUUGACACAAUUGACUAGGAAAGGUCAAGCUUUCAUUUGGAUUUCGUAGUGUGAAGCGAAUUUUCAAGAGCUUAAGAGAAGAUUGACUACGGCUCCUAUUUUGAUUUUACCGGAUCCGUUAGAAACUUUCGUUGUGUAUUCUGAUGCUUCUUUGUUGGGUUCGGGAGGUGUUUUGAUGCAAAAAGGGCAAGUGGUAGCUUAUGCUUCAAGGCAACUUAAAGUUCAUGAGAGGAAUUAUCCGACGCAUGAUUUAGAGUUGGUCGCCGUUGUGUUUGUGUUGAAGCUUUGGAGACAUUAUUUGUUUGGAUCGAGAUUUGAUGUGUUUAGUGAUCACAAGAGUUUGAAGUACUUGUUCGAUCAGAAAGAAUUGAAUAUGAGGCAAAGGAGAUGGUUGGAAUUCUUGAAAGAUUAUGAUUUUGGUUUGAAUUAUCAUCCUGGAAAGGCGAAUGUUGUAGCCGAUGCAUUGAGUAGGAAGUCAUUGCACAUGUCUAUGUUGAUGAUUCGAGAGUUUGAAUUGUUGGAGCAAUUUAGAGAUUUGAGUUUGGUUUGUGAAGCGACGUCUUCGUGUGUUAAGCUUGGUAUGUUGAAGCUUACGUGUGGCAUUCUUGACGAGAUUAGAGAAGGUCAGAAGUCAGAUUUGAAAUUAGUCGAUGUUAUGACAUUGAUUAAUCAAGGCAAAGGUGGUGACUUUCGGAUUGAUGAGAAUGGUAUCAUGAGGUGUCGUGAUCGAGUUUGUGUUCCGGAUGUUGCGGAUUUGAGAAAGAGGAUUCUUGAGGAAGGGCAUAGAAGUGGUUUGAGUAUUCAUCCUGGUGCUACUAAAAUGUAUCAAGACUUGAGAAAGAUGUUUUGGUGGCAAGGUAUGAAGAAGGAUGUAGCGGAAUUUGUGUAUUCAUGUUUGACUUGUCAAAAGUCAAAGAUUGAACAUCAAAAGCCGUCUGGUUUGAUGCAACCGUUAUCUAUUCCCGAGUGGAAGUGGGAUAGUAUCUCUAUGGAUUUUGUUUCGGGUUUGCCGAGAACAUCGAGUAAUUGUGAGGCGAUUUGGGUCGUUGUGGACAGGUUGACGAAAUGUGCUCAUUUUAUUCCGAUGAGGAUGGAUUAUUCGAUGGAGAGACUUGCUAAGUUGUACAUCGAAAGGAUUGUGUGUUUGCAUGGUAUUCCAUCGAGCAUUGUUUCGGAUAGAGAUCCGAGGUUCACUUCGAGAUUUUGGGAAGGUUUGGAAAGUGCUUUGGGUACGAAGUUGCGUUUGAGUUCAGCAUAUCAUCCGCAAACUGAUGGUCAAACGGAGAGGAGUAUUCAGUCACUUGAAGAUAUUUUGAGGUCUUGUGUCUUGGAACAAGGAGGAAAUUGGGAUAGUUUCUUGCCUUUGAUCGAGUUUACGUAUAACAACAGUUUCCAUUCGAGUAUUGGAAUGACACCUUUUGAGGCUCUUUAUGGCAGAACGUGUAGAACUCCUUUGUGUUGGUACGAAUCAGGGGAGAGUGUUGUGGUUGGACCCGAGUUGAUUCAAGAGACUAAUGAUAAGAUUAAGAUGAUUCAAGAGAAGAUGAAGGCUUCUUAGAGUCGUCAAAAGAGUUAUUAUGAUAAGAGGAGGAAAGCUCUUGAGUUUGAGAAAGAUGAGCAUGUUUUUCUUCGAGUUACGCCAAUAACGGGUGUUGGUAGAGCUUUGAAGUCGCGUAAGUUGACGCCGCGUUUCAUUGGUCCUUAUCAGAUUUCCGAGAGGGUAGGUGAAGUGGCAUAUCGGAUUGCAUUACCACCGUCACUUUCUAAUCUUCAUGAUGUGUUCCAUGUGUCUCAAUUGAGGAGGUACAUUGCGGAUCCAUCGCAUGUUGUUCCAUUAGAUGAUGUUCAAGUGAGGAAUAAUUUGACGGUUGAUACAUCACCUAUGCGAAUUGAAGAUCGAGAAGUGAAGAAGCUUCGUGGUAAGGAGAUUGCUUUGGUGAAAGUGAUAUGGGGCGGAGUCGCCAAUGGCAAUAUUACUUGGGAACUCGAGGAUAAGAUGAAGGAAUCGUAUCCGGAGUUGUUCGUUUGAGGUAUUUUCGAGGCCGAAAAUCUUUUAAGUGGGGGAGAGUUGUAACAACCCAAUUUUAGUAAUUAUUUCUUAUAUUAUUAUUACUAUAUUUUAUUUUAUUUAUUUGGAGUGUUAAUUAAUUAAUUGGUUGUUAGGUAGUAUAAUAAUUGAUUAUAUUAAUUAAUUUGGUGUGUUAAUUAAUUAUUUAGUUGAUAUGAGAUAUAAUGAAUAAUUGAAUUAAUUAACUUGGUGUGCAUAUUGAGUUGGUUUAAUUUAUUUGAAUUAAAUAGAGAUAUUAUAAUACUAGGUAUUAUUGGGCCUAAUAAUUAAAUUAGAGGUAUCAUUCUUUAAGCCCAAAUAUAAUACUAGAAUAUAAGAGGUGAGGAGAGUGAGAAGUAGGAUUCAUUUGAUCAUUUGACGGCAACAGAGAAAGAAAAGAGGAAAAGUAAGGAGAAGAGGGGAAGAACAAGAGAGAAGCUAAGGUUUCCAGAAAAUUGAAGAGGUAAGGGGGAGAAUCCUUAUUAUUAUGGGUUAGUAUGAUUGGGUCAAUGGGUAGAAGUAUGUUUAGGUUAAAAUCCCUAAUUUUGUAUGGUUGUUUGGAAUUGUUAGGUUUUGAUGAGUAUUCUUGAUUUGUGGUGAUUUAAUUGUGUUAAAACUGCAAAUUAACUUUAUAUACUUAGAGUAUUGUAUGAGUUAUAAUUUUCUGAACGUUUGGCUUUUUACGGAAUCGAAAUCGGAGGUCCGAAAGGCCUCCAACGAUGAAAAACGCAGAAAAUUCUGCAUUCUGUUUUGUGUUAACCGGUUAACCUCCGAGCGUUAACCGGUUACUUGCUAAAAACCUGCCCAGAAGUUGAUUCUGUUUUGUGUUAACCGGUUACCCUCCGAGCGUUAACCGGUUACUUGCUAAAAACCUGCCCAGAAGUUGAUUCUGUUUUGUGUUAACCGGUUACCCUCCGAGCGUUAACCGGUUACUUGCUAAAAACCUGCCCAGAAGUUGAUUCUGUUUUGUGUUAACCGGUUACCCUCCGAGCGUUAACCGGUUACUUGCUAAAAACCUGCCCAGAAGUUGAUUCUGUUUUGUGUUAACCGGUUACCCUCCGAGCGUUAACCGGUUACUUGCUAAAAACCUGCCCAGAAGUUGAUUCUGUUUUGUGUUAACCGGUUACCCUCCGAGCGUUAACCGGUUACUUGCUAAAAACCUGCCCAGAAGUUGAUUCUGUUUUGUGUUAACCGGUUACCCUCCGAGCGUUAACCGGUUACUUGCUAAAAACCUGCCCAGAAGUUGAUUCUGUUUUGUGUUAACCGGUUACCCUCCGAGCGUUAACCGGUUACUUGCUAAAAACCUGCCCAGAAGUUGAUUCUGUUUUGUGUUAACCGGUUACCCUCCGAGCGUUAACCGGUUACUUGCUAAAAACCUGCCCAGAAGUUGAUUCUGUUUUGUGUUAACCGGUUACCCUCCGAGCGUUAACCGGUUACUUGCUAAAAACCUGCCCAGAAGUUGAUUCUGUUUUGUGUUAACCGGUUACCCUCAGAGCGUUAACCGGUUAACACUGUUGAAAAAUGAAAAAAAUUGAGAUUUUAAAAGUUGUAUUCAUUUUGAAAUGCAAUCUAAGUGUGAGUAGUUGAUAAUUAGCCUAUAUUUGUGAAUGAUAUAUUGUUAUGAAUGUGUAUAUGUACCAUUGGUGGAUAAUUCAUAGAGUUGAAUUAUGGUGAUAUGUGGAAUGUUAAGAUGGUAGAGAUGAUCUUAAUUGCAUAUGUUUUGGUAUUUGUACAUUCAUUCAUGGCAUGGUCGGCUUCAUGGUGGAAGCGGUGAAACUGUGGGUUCACAUGGUAGUAGACGUUGAUCCUUGAUUGGAAAUAGGCGUAGCAGACGUUGAUCCUUAAUUGGAAAUAGACGUAGUGGCUUGGAUUCUAGAUAUUGAAUCGGAAAGCGGUGAAACUGUGGGUUCACAUAGACGUUGAUCCUUAAUUGGAAAUAGGCGUAGCAGACGUUGAUCCUUAAUUGGAAAUAGACAUAGUGGCUUUGAUCUUGUCCGGAUCGGAAGCGUGGCUUGGAUUCUAGAUAUUGAAUCGGAAAACGGUGUAACACUGGGUUCACAUUGCGGUACCACAUGCAUAGAGUCACAUGUCUUGCAUUGAGUCACAUUAGAGGUAUGUGAUAAUUGAGUGUAUGCAGUGUUGUGAUUGUGAUGUGUGUAUGAGAUAUGGUAAUUGAAUUUGGUGAUGUUUGGAUACAUAACUUGGCAAAGUAUAUGAUUAUGUGAUAAUUGUAGUUAUGUGUAUAAUUGGAAAUAUAGUAUGGGAUCUUAAUAUUAUACUCCUUGAGUUUUGAUGGAUGUUGAAAUAUGGGAAAUAAAUGUUAGUUAAUAUUAUUGACAUGGUUAUACAAGGUGUGAUGAAUUCCGUUAAUUGUUGAGUUAACCAUUGUGCCUUAUUAUACUUCUUCAUAAUGAUUUGAAUUCUCACCCUUUCUGUUUGAAUGUUGCCUUUACAUGGGCAUCGUGCAGAUACUCAGGAGUAGUAUUGCUGAAGUAAGUGGAAGGUAGCUCAUUCGAGAUUUAGCCGGAGGCUUCGUAUUCUAGUUUGGAGACUAGGUAGUGAGUCAAUGCUAUGGUCAUGUAACACGGGGUAGAUUAGUAGUAUUGAACUCAUAUCUUAUUUGGAUACGUAUUAUGUUAUUACUUGUGAACAUGUUUGAUUGCAAUUGCUGUUGAGAUGCCAUAAUGCCAAAUAUUCUGGAUAUGGUUUUAAUUUUUAUCUUGAGGAGAAUUGAGAGAUGAUCAUGGUAUGGGACAUGGAUCAUUUUAUGAAAUGCAUGAGUAUUCAUUAUUUUCCGCUGCGAACGCAUAUUCUGGAAUAUUCAUGAUAAUUGAAAUGUGUUAUUUUAAAUGACCAUGUGUAUUGUAUAUUGAUGAUGAAUGAUGUUGGUUUUUGAAAGCUUUUAGUUUUUGAAAACGUCGAUGUGACGCCCUUUUGUUUAUAUGCGUGCUUAUUUACUCUGAUUAUAGGUUAAGCAUUUUAGGGUAGAAAAAGGGGUGUUACAAUCAUAACUUCCACAAGUUGGUCUAGCUGAUUUUUUAUUGAGUUCACAUCUCCUCCCAAUGCAAUAUGACUUUGCUCCAACGGAUCCAUGAUCUUUCAAGAGCUACUUCAAGUCUGAUAUGAGUACCGGGAAAUCAACUGCAGGCUAUGGACGAAGGGUGGAUGAGUUUUUUUGUAUAUAUUUUGUAUGAAAGGUGAUAUGCAAUGCAUGAUGAUUGCAGAUGCAAUGAUAUGUGUAUGAGUUGUAGUGACAUGUUCAUGAUCACAGGUUCAAUGUGUUUUCAGAUGGAUCAGAAUAACGGGUAAAUGACAUGUAUCUCUAAUUAAUGGAACCCCAUGGGUAGGCUCUACAGUUGGUAGGUUCCCAGAGUCAUGGAUAUUUCUUGAGGACGUCACUGUCGUGACGAAGACUCGUCGGACAAUAGUAUCCUUAAGAAGAUCUCGUCUAGUCCCAUGGGUAGGCUCUACAGUUGGUAGGUUCCCAGAGUCAUGGAUAUUUCUUGAGGACGUCACUGUCGUGACGAAGACUCGUCGGACAAUAGUAUCCUUAAGAAGAUCUCGUCUAGGUGAGGUCUUUCUAUUAUCCCAAACAAGGAAAACUCCAUGAGGAUUCUACUACACGACUCUCGAGUCCAGGGUUCUAACAAGGUUCUCAGAGUCAUAGAUCGAGGUUGGAAAUAUUACUGUAAGAUAGUAAUACGUCCAAGGGACCUCAUCUGAUUGGGGCUUUCAUAUUAACCCAACAAGUCUGAAACUUCGUAGGUUAAUACUAGAUAACCGCCGGAUAGAGUGGGUUAAAAGGUCCCUAGAGUCAUUGAUCCAACUUGAAAAUACUAUCGUCGUGACGAAGACUCGUCGGACAAUAAUAUCUCAAGAGAAUCUCCUCUAGGUGGGGUCUUCGUUUCUUCCCAACAAGGAAGACUCCUUGUGGGCGCCCACUACACGACCACCAACUUAAUCUUAUGGUUUUUCUCAGACUCAGGUAGAGAGCCUAUCUCACAAAGCACCACUAACAAAGAGCCCCAAAUAAGACAUACUCAAUAAAUCACAACACAAUAAUUAUGACAGGAUAAUAAUAACAGAAUAAGAAUGACAAUCAAACAAACAAGAUUAACACACAAUACAGAAACUGAACUAAAUUAGGCUUCACUCUCUUUUGCUUGGAGCUAGUCCCCAGCAGAGUCGCCAUCUGUCGCAUCUCGAAAAAUACGAUUUCUCGCGAUGGUCGCGGAAAAAUUUAUGUUUGAACAGAGUCGCCACCGAACUUUAUUUAUCCCAAUGAAGGAAUAGGAAAAUAUCGAUAAAAUCUUUAGAAAAUGGAAUAAUGGUCGUCGCAACCAUAUUCGGGUUCGGGAGUGGAUUACGCAAGAGGAAGGUAUUAUCACCCCUCGCGUCCGUUGUACUCAACGGGAACCUUUUAGUUCAAUAGUGUGUUUCGAGUGUUAAUUUAUGCUUGUUUGUUAUCUUUGAGUUAUAAAAUAUUGAAAAUAGAAAUGGAUGAGAACCUCAGAAAGGGAAAAAGGGAGGUUUUUUAUUAGUGUGCUCGUGAAGAUACAACAAUCUCCUACCUACGUAUCCUUAUGGUAUAAUAAGGAAAUCAUAGCAUUCGUAGUUCGGGGAACUACGGUUGGUUGGUGUUCUUUAAUGAACAACUAUUUGGAUUGCAUCCUAAAGGCUAAACGUUGGCUUGUCUACUCUCGGCGGAGGCUUAAGCACUAGUUUGUUGUGCGCAUUAGAAAGGAUUAAAUGGUGUUCUUUUUGAAAGAGUUUUGGUCACACGGGGUGACAAGUUGAGUUGAUAUGUUUGAUGUUUUGUUUGAUUUGUUUCGAUUGCACAAGGGCGAGGAGAGGAUAGGUCUGAUGUGUUAAAGUAUUUUGGUUGGAUGACGAUUACUCGGAUGGUCGAGUAAGACAACUCAUAUCCUAACAGUCGAGAAAGGGAAUAGAAGACUCUAGACCGUUUUCUUUUUCAUCCUUAAUUGUAAAAGGAUUUAAUAAUGAUUAGGGUGUUUUGAAUGGAUGACGAAUACUCGGAUAAUCGAGCAAGACAACUCGUAUCCUAAUAAUCGGGAAAGGGAAUAAAAGACUCUAGACCGCUUUCCGUUUCAUCUGAGUAAUUAUGAAAAGGAUUGGAUAAGAAUUAAGGUAUUUUAAAUGGAUGACGAUUACUCGGAUAGUCGAGUAAGACAACUCGUAUCCUAAUAAUCGGGAAAGAGAAUAGAAGAAUCUAGACCAUUUUCUGUUUCAUCUGAGUAAUUAUGAAAAGGAUUGGAUAAUAAUUAAUGACAAGUACCUGAAUGAGAGUAAAACAACUCAUAUCCAAGCAUUUGAGAAGAGGAGUUGAAAGCUCGAAACCAUCUCUUUUUCGUAUAGUUUUGAUUGAGAAUGAUUUGACUUAUGGUAUAAGUUGGUGGAAAAAUGACAAUAGUUCGACUAACCGAGUAAGAGAACUCGUAUUCAAACAAUUGAGGAGAGAAGUUGAAAACUCAAAGUCAUCUCCCUUUUCAUUUAGCUUAUUAUGAAAAUAAUUUGAUUUAAUCGGAUUUAGACGUUUGUGGAGAAAUGACGAUUGUUUGACUGACCAAGUAAGAGAACUUGUAUUCAAAUAAUCGAGGAGAGAAAUUGAAGACUCAAAGUCAUCUCCCUUUUCAUUUCUUAUUAUAAAAUGAUUUGAUUUGUUUGUGAUUAAAUGGAUUAGAAAUGACAACUAUUUGACUAACCGAGUAAGAGAACUCGUAUUCAAAUAAUCGAAGAGAGGAGUUGAAAACUCAAAACCAUCCCCCUUUUUAUUUUCAUAUGAAAUGUUAUUUGAUUGUGAUUGGGUAUUUUGAUUUGGUUUGAAUAAAAGUACUCGAUGUUGGAUUGAGGCUUUGAAUUUGUGUUUAUGAAUGAAAUGAGUUUUCUUAGUGAAUCGAUCAUCUAAUCGAUUAUUUAAUAAUCGAAUAGGUCUCAUUGUAAGGAAGCCCAAGAGUAAGCUAUGUGAGGUUGACGGCGAUGCUAAGAGCAAUCGACUUACGAAGGUGUGGGAGAUGGACUCGAUUGAAUCGAUAAUUGUUUGGUUUUAGCGGUUUAAAGCGGUUUUGGAUCGACGGUGGAUUUGAAUGAAAAUCAAUCAAUAUUUAAUUAACCAAGUUAAUUAAUUUAAAGUUUGAUUGAAUCAAUCAAUCAAGUUGAUUAAAAUUAAUUAUCAAAAUUAUUCAUUUAGGCCAACUAAUCAUGUUAAUUAAAAAUUAAUUGAUCAAUUGAAAUGUCGAUUGAAGAAAAUGGAAGCAAGCAUAGCAAGGGUGCACUCACCAAAAUCUAAUUAGGCCAACCCAACUAAUAAUUAAGCCUUUGAGAAAAUAAAUAAAUAGAUAUAAGAAAAAACAAAAUGAAACAUGGCUGUAUGAGAAGAGUAGGGGCGGCGUCCUAAUAUCUGGAAGGAAAGAGAGCCUCAUGUAUUUUUAAUUUGGAAGUCCACUAAUAAAAUAUUGACAUGCGGUGGUACAUUAAGAGUGGAGGAACAAAAUUUACAAAUACCUUCUCUCUCUCGCUUGAUUUUUUCUGAAUUAAACAAUGUUUAAAGAAAAAAAAUAUUUGACUAAGUCUAAUUAAUUUAAAAUAAAGUUUGCACUUAAACAAUUAAUCCUAAAUAUUAACAACUCACACUUAAUCCCAAUUACAAUUAAUCUCUUAAUCACAUAAAUUCUUAUGAUUAUAAAUAAUCAUUUUAAUCACAAAUAGAAAAAGCAGAGUCUGAACUUAAAUCCAAAAUUAAUUAUUAUUGAUUAAGCGAAUUCCAAGAGAUUAGUUUAAAUUAAAUGAUUAUGAAGAAGAGGUGUGAACCUGAGAAAUGAGGGUGGAGAUAAGCGAACCCGUUUUGGGCCUUAUGCCCAAACAGUCAAGGCCUAUCCAUGAAAUGCUUCAAUUUGCUUCCUUCAGCAAAACCCAGGUCACCACGUUUUCAUCCUGGACGCGAUGCAAAGAAGCUUUAGAACUUCCCUCAGAACAUGGCGAUCCAACAACGAACAUAACGGAUCCAGACUCUAAUCCUCAGCCUCUGAUCAAGAUUGAAGUGAUAAUCUGUGAAACCAAAGUUCCUUUCAAAGAUCAUUGAAGUGGGAGCGAUGACGAUGGAUCCAGACUCUAACCUCCACAACGGCGUGUGAGAGAGUACGUCGGGGUGGACAAGAGUACGGUGGUGAAGGCCGUUAUUGGCGGCGGUAAGUGGUUGUCAGAAUAGUGGAGGUUACGCCGGUGAGGAGCGAUUGAAGGUCGAUUGUGGCCGGCGGAGAAACUGUGGUUUUGUGAGGGCGCUCGUUGGAGGUAGAAAAUGAGGGUGUGGAGCGUGUGGGUUCGCGGUCGAAGGAGGAUAAGAGUAAAGCUGAGCAUGAAAUAAAUUGAUACGGUUUGUUGAGUUGUUCCAAGCUUGUCGUCGUUGUUGCGGUAACGCUUGUAGUGCGUAUGAGUUGUUGGAUACAAGGGCACCUCCGUUUUCGAUAUGGCCAGGAUGAUUCUUACGGAUCGCUUAAGAUGUGAGACUAACAACUUCUAUAGUUGUAUCAUCCUACAAGAUCGAGGCAACAUUGAACUAUUGUUGUUGGAAAUUUCAAAUAUGCCGAAAUCAAACCAAUCGGAUCGCUUAAGAUGUGAGACUAACAACUUCUAUAGUUGUAUCAUCCUACAAGAUCGAGGCAACAUUGAACUAUUGUUGUUGGAAAUUUCAAAUAUGCCGAAAUCAAACCAAAAACAUGGGGGAUCCAAUGUAUUGUUUGUUGUUGCAACUUGGAGUUGUGGAAAAAAAAGGUGUGUUGUCGUGAACUUGUUGUCGGCAGAGCUAACAAGAGAUAUGUGGUUGUCAAUGGAUGAUGAGGAUGGAUAAUGGUUGGAUGGCGACGAUACUUGUGCACCCAGUGGAUGGAAGUGUCACGACCAAUUGUGAGGAGGUCGAUGGUGGGAACGUUGUGCCGGAGGUGGUUAGUUGGAGACGCAAGGGUUUGUGACGGCGGAAGAAGAAACGAACGGUGGUGGUCCGGUAGAAUGGAUUUGAUCGGAAGUGAAGAAGGGUGAUAUCGUUGAGUUGUGGUGGUGGAUGGUGAGUGGUCGUGGCUUGAAGAUGGAACGCAGAACGACGAUGCUCGAGUCGAAAGAUGAAGAGCAGAAGCGAAUCAAUUCUGAAAAGGUAUCGUCGAGUUUUUUCGCUUCUCUCUUAUGCUUCUGUUAUUUCUUUUCUUUCCUAACUCUAUCUCUCUUUUCUCCUUCGAUUACUGAUUGAUUCGUGAAUCGUCGAUGAAGGAUUUCCGAGUGUCUCCGUUUCUGUUAUUGCUGUUGUGUUCUUUAUGGUUUUUGAAAGAAAACUCUGUUUGUGUUUAGGUUGUUGUCGAUGAAGGAUUUCCGAGUGUCUCCGUUUCUGUUAUUGCUGUUGUGUUCUUUAUGGUUUUUGAAAGAAAACUCUGUUUGUGUUUAGGUUGUUCUUGAUUUUGGGUUUUGAAGAAAAAUAACUUUGCUGUGUUUAUUGCUGUGUUUGCUGUUGUGUUUAGAGUAUCUUUUGAAAAAUCUCUUACUGUGAUGUGUAUCCCCCCGUUAACCUCUCUUCUGUUGUUAUUAUGAAGAAAUGAUUAAGCCUUAAAAAACUCUUUUUUCUUUU